CAGCCGCCACGGUAAUACGUAGGUGACAAGCGUUGUCCGGAAUUAUUGGGCGUAAAGGGCUCGCAGGCGGUUUCUUAAGUCUGAUGUGAAAGCCCCCGGCUCAACCGGGGAGGGUCAUUGGAAACUGGGAAACUUGAGUGCAGAAGAGGAGAGUGGAAUUCCACGUGUAGCGGUGAAAUGCGUAGAGAUGUGGAGGAACACCAGUGGCGAAGGCGACUCUCUGGUCUGUAACUGACGCUGAGGAGCGAAAGCGUGGGGAGCGAACAGGAUUAGAUACCCGCGUAGUCCCUGUCUCUUAUAC
rnacentral:rRNA from 1 species